rnacentral:rRNA from 1 species
UGGGGAAUAUUGCACAAUGGAGGGAACUCUGAUGCAGCGACGCCGCGUGAACGAAGAAGGCUUUCGAGUCGUAAAGUUCUUUUAUAUGGGAAGAUAAUGACGGUACCAGAAGAAAAAGCCCCGGCUAACUACGUGCCAGCAGCCGCGGUAAUACGUAGGGGGCUAGCGUUGUCCGGAAUCACUGGGCGUAAAGGGUUCGCAGGCGGAAAUGCAAGUCAGGUGUAAAAGGCAGUAGCUUAACUACUGUAAGCAUUUGAAACUGCAUAUCUUGAGAAGAGUAGAAGUAAGUGGAAUUUUUAGUGUAGCGGUGAAAUGCGUAGAUAUUAAAAAGAAUACCGGUGGCGAAGGCGACUUACUGGGCUCAUUCUGACGCUGAGGAACGAAAGCGUGGGUAGCAAACAGG